CUUCUCCUGCGUACCUGACCACGGGGAGCUCUGCAAAUACGGCCCUUCUUCAUCUCGUUGGUGGAACACCUUCCUCGUCACCCUCUUCAACAGUAUGCCUCCCUUCUCCUUUGUCUUCCUCGUGAACCCUAGGGUUUAGGGAAGAACACAGUCAUCUAGAAGAAGUCAAGAUUCGCCUGUGAAGAACGCAAGGAGCGGCAGAAAUUGAACCUCCUCUAUCUCUGAAACCGUACGAAUCCUUCCCCAUCUUCAUCUUGUGAACCCGAGAUUGGUCGAUCUACUUUCAUCUCGUGAACCCAUACGGAAGAUUCGCUUCAUUCUUGUAGAGAUUCGUACGGUUUCAGAGACGUCUCACCUCCAGAGAUAAAAGCGAGGUUUUCCCCUCAAAUCUGAAGAGUAUACCAUUCUGAGGACUCUGUUUGAAGGUUUGACUACUCCUUCCACAACCGUUCACUCAUAGGAGAGCUCGAGAUAUGAGAUCUCCAAGAUCCCCAACCCCCAAAAGUACUACUAUAAUCUGGAAUGAAGCAGAGCUAAGAUCAUCCAUCAAUCUCAUAGUUGAUAAUGUCCGAAACGGAUUGAAGACAAACUCAAUAUUCACAAAGGUUGGUUGGGACAACAUUACAAAAGGGCUUGAAGCCGAAUUCAAAAGGUCCUUUGCAAAAGUACAACUGCGUAACAAGAUGAAUAAGUUAUGUAAGGAGUACAACAGCUUCAGGGCUUUGCUAGAAACAACUGGUUUCGGAUGGGAUGCGAAUGCUCGGACUACCACAGUUGAUGAUUCAGUAUAGGAAUCUGCUAUUCAGGGAAACAAGGAUUGGGCAAAGUAUAGAAGAAAUGGUCUCCCCUUGUGGCCAGAGUUGUUAGAGAUCUUCUCCAACUCUAGUGCCUGUGGGGAUAGAGGUUUGUCACAGGCAACAAUUGUAACUCCAACGUCAACUAACCUUGAAAUUGAUGAUGAUUUACAUGACACUGAUAAUGAUGACAUUGAUGCUUGUACUGGGACACCCAAGGGGUCAGCUCCUCCGAAGCGGCGACUUGAUAGGACUCCUACGAAUCGUAGGAGGAAGAGCCACACAUGGACACUCACGAACUCCACUGAGGAUUUCAAAACCUUUGUCUGAUGGAGGAUGGAAAAGGGAUCAACCUCUGCCACCUCAGCAGUUACCCGACCACCUGACCCUAUUGUUGACGGACCAUAUAGCAUAAUGAGCUGUUAGAAGCUACUGGACAGUUUGGAGGAUAUCCCGACGGAUUUGUAUAUGUUGGCGCAGCGUAAGAUACACAGUGACCCUGGAUGGCGCAUGUCUUUUAUUGAAGUGAGACUUGACAGGAGGUUAUGGAUGCUACAUGGUCUGAAGGAGUGAAAGUAACAGUUUCUGAUAUGAAUGAACAUAAAUCUUUUGUUUGGAUUUUAUAUGCCUCAUACUGACUGACACACUUAUGUCUUUUAGCAUACUAUGGAUGAUGUUGAUGUUUGAAUUAUGUUGCUUUGUUUUAUUU